CUGAAAUGGACCCACUGUACGCUGAUAAUUACGAGAAACGGCCAUGGAUGCAAAAUUAAUGAACACCUUAACCCUCUAUCUUUAACCAAAUUUACAGACCCACCUAACGCACUUUAAGCAAAACAAGAGGGCAGUCGCCGUAAUUUUAACAGGACAACAUUUUACACCCGAUUUUCGUCGUCACUCAGUCCUCUGCGGACUGUGACUUUCUCUGCCGUCGCGCCACACACCAUGAACUCUGCAAUCCGCAGUUCUUAUCUCACUCUUACUCGAGACCGAAGCGUUCCGAUACCCGAAACGCCGAAGCUACAACCUUUUCCGCGUUUCUUCGACUCGACGAACCGAAACAACCGAUUCCGAGACGUUUCUUCCGGUAGCUCGCUGCUGAGAACUCGACUUCGGCAUGACUCGGCUGAGUUCCGCACCGCUCUCUCGCACCGAGUUGGGGUUUCUUCCAAAAAUGCUCAGUUUGAUUCGUUUCCGGACGAGAACGAAGCUCAGGCGCCGAGUUUCGCUGAGUUCAUCACCUCCGAGAGGGUCAAAGUGGUGGCGAUGCUUGCUUUGGCUUUGGCUCUCUGUAACGCGGACCGGGUUGUGAUGUCGGUGGCGAUUGUACCGUUAUCGCUCUCUAACGGUUGGAGCCGAUCGUUUGCUGGUAUUGUUCAGUCAUCUUUCCUUUGGGGGUACCUCAUAUCUCCCAUAGCUGGAGGGACUCUUGUGGACUAUUAUGGUGGUAAGGUAGUCAUGGCCUGGGGAGUGGCUUUGUGGUCUUUAGCUACCUUUCUGACACCAUGGGCUGCAGAGACUUCUCUAUGGGCUCUCCUUGCUAUGAGAGCUCUCCUCGGCAUUGCAGAAGGAGUGGCUCUUCCUUGCAUGAACAACAUGGUAGCAAGAUGGUUUCCACAAACUGAACGAGCCAGGGCUGUUGGGAUUGCAAUGGCUGGAUUUCAGCUUGGAAGUUCAGUAGGACUCAUGCUUUCUCCAAUCCUCAUGUCACAAGGUGGUAUAUUCGGACCAUUUGUGAUUUUUGGUUUAUCCGGGUUUCUUUGGGUUUUGGUAUGGUUAUCUGCAACAUCAAGUACUCCAGACCGAAAUCCUCAGAUAUCAAAGUAUGAAUUGGAGUACAUAUUGAAUGAGCGGAAGAAGUCCUUGGUAGAGAAUAAACCUAAGACAACCAAAGUGAUCCCUCCUUUCAGGCGCUUGCUUUCUAAACUGCCAACCUGGUCCCUAAUAAUUGCAAAUGCCAUGCAUAGCUGGGGUUUUUUCAUUUUUCUUUCCUGGAUGCCCAUUUACUUCAACUCAGUGUAUCAUGUUGACCUCAGACAAGCUGCUUGGUUUAGUGCUGUUCCAUGGACUGUCAUGGCAAUCAUGGGAUAUAUUGGUGGGUUGUGGUCAGACAUAAUGAUACGGAAUGGCAUGAGUGUCACUUUAACUCGAAAGAUCAUGCAGUCAAUUGGUUUCCUUGGUCCUGGGAUAGCUCUUGUGGGUUUAACUACAGCAAAAAGUCCAGCAGUUGCAUCUGCUUGGCUUACUUUAGCAGUAGGGCUGAAAUCUUUUAGUCACUCUGGUUUUCUUGUGAAUCUUCAGGAAAUCGCUCCACAAUACUCUGGUGUUUUACAUGGAAUUUCAAAUACUGGUGGAACAUUAGCUGCCAUUUUGGGAACCGUUGGAGCUGGUUUCUUUGUUGAACUUGUGGGUUCUUUCCAGGGAUUUCUGUUGUUUACAUCACUCUUAUAUGUUCUUGCUGCCCUUUUCUACAACGUAUUUUCUACUGGAGAGAGAGUAAAUUUUGAUGAACCUAUUGGAUUUUGUAGGAUUAAUGUCUAUUACAUGACACUGUCUUUGCAAAAACCAUUCAUGUAGUUUUCAGUCACCAGAUGUUAGCUUUCUAAACAACAUUUUAAGGAAAUACUUUGAUUUUGGAAUAUGGUCAAAUUCAUGGAACCCAUUUUAUGGGUGGAACUAUGGGGCUCAUGAAUGACAUUCUAAGACUGCUGGUGCUGGCAACAUCAUAUCGCUUGUCGAUGAUAAUGGUUAUACUUGUUCAACUGUGGCUAAUGGAGCAGACUUAUGGAAUUGGACAGAAUGUGGGAAGGCAGACAUGAGGAAUGGUACAGAAUGUCGGAAGCCAUCCUCUGUAUCGAUAAAUAACCUUUUUGUCCUUUGUAUCAAUCCAAAAUGUGUACAGUGGAUUUUUUUAGUUUUCCUCUUCCUGAUGCAUCAACAGUUUGUUUCAGGUGCACAUGGGGAUUCUGUUUACCAAAUUUUGUAAAAGAUAUGUAUAAAUGUGUUUCAGAGGUGUGAUGCUGGAUUCACUCUUCUUUUUCUGUGUUUCAAAGAUGUUGUUAGUUCC